GACGAACGCUGGCGGCGUGCUUAACACAUGCAAGUCGAACGGAAAGGCCCUGCUUUUGUGGGGUGCUCGAGUGGCGAACGGGUGAGUAACACGUGAGUAACCUGCCCUUGACUUUGGGAUAACUUCACGAAACUCGGGCUAAUACCGCAUAUGAGCUCCUGCUGCAUGUUGGGGGUUGGAAAGUUUCGGCGGUUGGGGAUGGACUCGCGGCUUAUCAGCUUGUUGGUGGGGUAGUGGCUUACCAAGGCUUUGACGGGUAGCCGGCCUGAGAGGGUUACCGGGGACAUUGGGACUGAGAGACGGCGCAGAAUGCUACGGGAGGCAGCAGGGGGGAAUAUUGCACAAUGGGCGGAAGCCUGAGGCAGAAACGCUGCGUGCGGGAUGACGGGCUUCGGGUUGUAAACAGCUGUGGCCGGUGACGAAGCGGGAGUGACGGUAAUGGGUAAAGAAGCACCGGCUAACUACGUG
rnacentral:rRNA from 1 species